UAUUUUCAUUUUUUUUCAUUUCCCUCCAACAUCUUCUCUCUCUUUCUGUGCUUUGUUCACUCUACACUCCCAGUUGUCUCUCUGCCUAAUUUCUACAGAAACAAAAGGGAUGGAAGGUGGUCAACAGUACAAUCCUCGAACAGUUGAAGAAGUUUUUAGAGAUUUCAAGGGUCGUAGAGCUGGCCUUAUUAAAGCUCUUACUACUGAUGUCGAAGAAUUUUAUCAGCAGUGCGACCCAGAAAAAGAAAAUCUUUGCCUAUAUGGAUUUCCAAGUGAACAGUGGGAAGUCAAUCUACCAGCUGAGGAAGUGCCCCCUGAGCUUCCAGAGCCUGCUCUGGGGAUUAACUUUGCCCGUGAUGGCAUGCAAGAGAAGGACUGGCUAUCUUUGGUUGCUGUGCAUAGUGAUGCAUGGUUACUUGCUGUUGCAUUUUAUUUUGGUGCUAGGUUUGGUUUCGAUAGAGCUGAUAGGAGAAGAUUGUUCAAUAUGAUAAACGAUCUUCCCACAAUUUUUGAGGUUGUGUCUGGGACAGCCAAGAAACAAUCAAAAGAGAAAUCAUCAAUGUCAAACCACAGCAGCACCAAGUCCAAGUCAAAUUCCAAGGUGGCACAGCGUGGCUCUGAACUGCCACCCAAGUACUCAAGGCCACAACCGAAAGAUGAGGAUGAAGAUGGUUUGGAAGAGGAGGAAGAUGACGAGCAAGGAGAAACACUAUGUGGUGCAUGUGGUGAGAACUAUGCAUCUGAUGAGUUCUGGAUCUGCUGCGACAUAUGUGAGAAAUGGUUCCACGGGAAAUGCGUUAAGAUCACUCCAGCUAGGGCUGAACAUAUCAAGCAGUACAAAUGCCCCGCCUGCAGCAACAAGAGAGCACGCACCUGAUUGUCAGGUCACUGGGCUCGCACUUAAUCAGGGAAUUAUUAACAAGAUCAUUUUCUAAUCUGAGGAAAUCUCUUUUCGAGAAGCUUGAAAAGGUCAUAGUAAAUUGAUGGAAGAUGAGAUCUGCUGUUGGUUGUUGGAACCUUUCUUGAGGAUGCUGGUCAUCCCAGAAAUCACAUCAGCAAUCUAUUAUACUCUUGGUAAAGCUGCGGGAAAUGUUGCCGCAGAGGAAUAUGCUUCUUACCUUCCUCGGCACUAGGUGACUUUAGAAUGUGUUGUUAAUUUUGUUUCUAAGAAAUAUUCUACGCCUUGAAAGGACUUAAUUAAUGGAAGUUAGGUGAUAUUUUUUUUCCUUUGUAUAAGUAUUGGUGGGCAGAGUUAUCUAGUAUUUGUGCUGAUUUGAAGUAGCAGGUACUUAAUGGAACAAACGAGGUGUUCCAUCUUUCUAAGCCGCGGUGGACGGAGUUCUUCGUUAUCUCUACGAGUUGGAAGUAGCAGGAACCCGGAAGAAUAGUCGAGGUGAAUGCAAUUGCUUGGAACACCACCGUUGUGAAAAAUAUUCUUACUUGGAUAAAAAGGAAUUGUUACUUAACAGGGAACGAGACACGAGACUUUCAAGUGAAACUUUAAGCCAAGUUAUGCCUGAUGUGUUGCAUCUGAAGCUGCCGUUUCAGAUCUAUUGCCGUUUUAUUUCUUGGCUGAUCAUUGCAUUUUUGGUAUAUUUAGGCACGAGGGCUUGCUUCAUUUAAGAAGCUAUAUAAACACUUAUAAUCACGAUUUAGAGGAUAUCUGCAAGGCUGUGCAGACUGCAGAGUAUUUGUAUCUCUCUGUGGCGCAUAAUUACUAUAAAAGAAUGGAUGCAUCAUUGCCUUCACAAUUCACAAAA